rnacentral:rRNA from 1 species
AGAGUUUGAUCCUGGCUCAGUAUGAACGCCGGCGGUGUGCCUAAUACAUGCAAGUCGUACGCACUGGCCCAACUGAUUGAUGGUGCUUGCACCUGAUUGACGUUGGAUCACCAGUGAGUGGCGGACGGGUGAGUAACACGUAGGUAACCUGCCCCGGAGCGGGGGAUAACAUUUGGAAACAGAUGCUAAUACCGCAUAACAACAAAAGCCACAUGGCUUUUGUUUGAAAGAUGGCUUUGGCUAUCACUCUGGGAUGGACCUGCGGUGCAUUAGCUAGUUGGUAAGGUAACGGCUUACCAAGGCGAUGAUGCAUAGCCGAGUUGAGAGACUGAUCGGCCACAAUGGAACUGAGACACGGUCCAUACUCCUACGGGAGGCAGCAGUAGGGAAUCUUCCACAAUGGGCGCAAGCCUGAUGGAGCAACACCGCGUGAGUGAAGAAGGGUUUCGGCUCGUAAAGCUCUGUUGUUGGAGAAGAACGUGCGUGAGAGUAACUGUUCACGCAGUGACGGUAUCCAACCAGAAAGUCACGGCUAACUACGUGCCAGCAGCCGCGGUAAUACGUAGGUGGCAAGCGUUAUCCGGAUUUAUUGGGCGUAAAGCGAGCGCAGGCGGUUGCUUAGGUCUGAUGUGAAAGCCUUCGGCUUAACCGAAGAAGUGCAUCGGAAACCGGGCGACUUGAGUGCAAAAGAGGACAGUGGAACUCCAUGUGUAGCGGUGGAAUGCGUAGAUAUAUGGAAGAACACCAGUGGCGAAGGCGGCUGUCUGGUCUGCAACUGACGCUGAGGCUCGAAAGCAUGGGUAGCGAACAGGAUUAGAUACCCUGGUAGUCCAUGCCGUAAACGAUGAGUGCUAGGGGGUGGAGGGUUUCCGCCCCUCCACGCCGGAACUAAC